AGGGGACACAGCCAGGACAGCUGACCCCAACUGACCAAAGGGAUAUUCCAUACUGUAUGACGUCAUGCUCAGUUUCUAAGGAGUUUGGGGAAGAGGAAGGAGGCGGGGGCGGCAGCAGCGUUCGGAGUGAUGGCAUUUGUCUUCCCAAGUCAUCGUUACGUGUGAUGGAGCCCUGCUGUCCUAGAGAUGGCUGAACGCCUGCCUGCCCAUGGGCAGUGGUAGAAUGAAUUCCUUGCCUUGCUUUGCCUGUGAGUGCGGCUUUUGCUUGACCUAUUAAACUGUUUUUAUCUCAACCCACGAGUUUUCUCACCUUAACUUUUCCAGUCCUCUCCCCCAUCCCAAUAAGGGGGGAGUGAGCGAGUGGCUGCGUGGUGCUCAGCUGCCGGCUGGGGCUAAACCAUGACAUUCUUUUUUUGGUGCUCAACAUGAGGCUCAAAGGGUUCGAGAUAAUGACAGAUUUGAAUGGAAUAUACUAGAUUGAAUUUAUAGCUGUUAUUAGCUAUUUAGUAUUAGCUGUUUAGCUAUUACUUGGCAGGCUCCUGUGCUUGCCAUGGGGCUUGCUUGCCUUACUGUAAAUUAGAGUCUAGUGCUCGUUAGUGGCUGCUUUUUGCUUUCGCCGCUCGCUGUAGUGCUGUACUGCUUAUCAUCUGACUGCACUGUGCCUGGGAACAUUCUGAUAACAGCAAUGGCGAUGCGCCUGGGCUGGCAGAUGGCCAGGGCAUCCCUGCUGUUUCUGUGCUGCUGGACUGGACAGGCUGGAACUCCUGUGUGCACUUGAGUCGAAGGGACGGUGACCUGUCGAUGAGUCCACGUGGGAGCAGGACACCUCGAAGUGUCUGUGGCCAUGGUUGUGUCUGUGCCGCAGCAGGUAUACCUUUGGAGGGAUUGUGAGCCAAGGAUAAGUCCAUGCUGGAGAAGGUACACCUCGAAGCAUCUGUGGCAAGGAUAAGUCCAUGCUACAGCAGGUACACCUUGAAGCAUCAGUGGCUGUGCAGGGGGUCAUGCUGGAACAUCCCAAAGUGUGUGGCCAUAGAUGAGCCCACGACAGGGCAGGUUUAUUUCUGAAGGAACUGAAAUGACUGUGACUGACUGUGGGCAAGGCCAUGCUGGAGCAAGUAUAUCUCUGAAGGCAUUGUGGCCCAUGGAGAAGGCCAUGCUGGAACAGGUGCGCCUCAAAGUGACUGUGGCUGUGGCUAAGUCUAUGCCACAGCAGGUAUACCCCUGGAGAGACUGUGGCUCAUGAUAAAGCUCCACUUGGAGCAGGUACACCCCUAAGGGACUGCAGUCUGUGGAUAAGUCCAAGCCGGAGCAGGGGCAAGGGGAGGAGUUCAUUGCAAUAGUAAACCUGAUGGUCUGGCUCAAAGAGACCGGGGUGGAGACUGUAAUGGAAAUACCUUUAAUUUGUUGUAACCCAGGAUUUGAGUUGCCUGUUAUAGGAAUUACUACAGCAGGAACGACCUGAACCAACAGAGGACAAGCCUUACAAGAAGCAGUGCAAGUGCAGCACUGGACCUGACCUGAGCUGGUUUCGGUGUCCAGUGACUCCACACAUCACACCACCUUUCCUGUCCUGAGUGACCACCAUUGUGGAUGAUGGCCAAGGUUAUGGACUGAGUCAACCCAAUGGACAUUUUAUGGACAUUUAUCGACAUUUGAAAAGGGUGGUCCAUAGACUAAGGGAAUGAUAUCAGCAUAUUAUAUUAUAUCAAGGGAUGAGAAGGGUGGUGGUGAUUAAUGAGGACGUAUUGGAUAGUGGGGGACCUGAGCAUGGCAUAAAUGGUAUGGAUCAAGGGGUGGAUAGUGUCUUGGUUUCAGCUGAGAGGGUUAAUUUUCUUCAUAGUAGCUAGCAUGGGGCUAUGUUUUGGAUUUGUGCUGGAAGCAGUGCUGAUAACAUAGAGAUGUUUUUGUUAUAUAGAGAUGUUGUUGCUGAGCAGUGCUUACACAGAGCCAAGGCCUUUUCUGCUUCUCACACUGCCCUGCCAGCGGGAUGGCUGGGGGUGCACAAGAAGUUGGGAGGGGACACAGCCAGGACAGCUGACCCCAACUGACCAAAGGGAUAUUCCAUACUGUAUGACGUCAUGCUCAGUUUCUAAGGAGUUUGGGGAAGAGGAAGGAGGCGGGGGCGGCAGCAGCGUUCGGAGUGAUGGCAUUUGUCUUCCCAAGUCAUCGUUACGUGUGAUGGAGCCCUGCUGUCCUAGAGAUGGCUGAACGCCUGCCUGCCCAUGGGCAGUGGUAGAAUGAAUUCCUUGCCUUGCUUUGCCUGUUUGUGACUCAGCAUCUACCCAAGUCUGUUCUCCACUGACAAGACAAAUCAGUUCUGCAGUUGAGUCAGUCAGAGCCCUUUUCGCAGUGAUGAAUUCAGCAGGCAGCCACCGUAUGGGAAAGAUCGUGGAGCCUUUACUCUGUGUGCAGUUACCUCUGUGAGAGACAGCUUGAUCCUUCCGAGGUGCCAAGUAUGAAUGACUGUUGCCAGUGGUCUUAGCACUUGAAAUACCUAACCCUUGACACCUACUGACAGAACCUCUAGGCUUCAUUUGGAGCUGAAAGCGAAGAACCCACUGGGUGGAUUGCACUUCCCUCUCUCUGCCUGUAAGAAAUAUAUCCCCUUAACUCCUGUUCACAACCAGGUAUCUUUACACCCAUCCCAGAGGUGAAUUUCACCAACAGCCACUUUAGUUGUAAUAAAAAUCCCACCGUGAGGCCAUGGAUGAGGUCCCACUGGGUGAAUUGCAGUAUAAACACUGUAGAAGAAUGUCUUAGCCAAGAGGAGCUCAUCGUUAAGUUACGUGAGGCUGAAAAAGACAGGGAAAAGAGAAAAGACAGUUAUGGUUGGCAAAUGUUUUAAUUCCAUACUGGAGGCUUUUCCAAAACGUCAAAAAUGGGUUUCAAUUCACAGCUGUAUGUGAAUACCAAAUUGUCUAUUCUACACAAUAGCUUUUCUGAGAGAUGCAUCAGCUGUCUUCUACACAAUUUACACACAUCCUCUUGGGGCUCCAGAUCACAGUUUUCACAAUUACUGGUGCUUUUCUUAAAGCCUCUGUCCCAUCCCCUGCAAUCAUUUGAGCAUGUGAACAUUUCAGCUUUAAUUUUCUAAAAAUAAGUACUUUCAAAUAUCAUAUCAAUAAAUUCUUUCAAACAUUUAUGGAGAAAAGCAAAUACAAACUAAGUGAAAUACAGAAUCUCAAAAUGCAAAAAGAAAAAAAUGAAAGCAAACAAUAUAUGUUACUUAAAAACAACAGGAAAAAAAAAGUUAAAAUUUUAAAAGCCACUUAAAAAUGUCCAGGUUCAGGUAAUUUCUGAGUGCCUGGGUUUGACAAGACUUUGUCCAGCAGUAUUUUGGAUUUUGUGUAGUUCAAGGUUCCUCAAUCUGCAUGGUGGUGCUUAGGAGGUGGGGAGAAAUAUUACAAUCUAAACCAGAUAAAAUCUUUCUGCUGUACUCCUUGCAUAUGUUUGCUUUCCAAAAUUAACAAUUCUCUUUCAAGCUCUCAAAUCACAUGCCAGAAUGCAUAAGUGGGAUGCCUAUCAUCAUACGUUACUAAUAUUGCCCAAUCCUGACUAUAAAUACCUUGCUUCCAGUGUCUCGACAAUCUGGGUUUACUUUUUUAUUCUGAGGAUCUGGUGAAUUCCAAAGUGUUCAGCUUGUGACAAACAAGACAUUCCCAAGAAUGAAACCAGCAAGUAAGAAGACAUUUCUCUUGAGUUAUCAAGAUCUGUGCUUUGAACAUAGAAAUUCCUCUAUGGUGCUUGGUGUUAUGAAAAAUUAUGUUCUAUCUGCCUUAAAUGUAAUAAACAACAAUACUUUGAUGAAACUGAAAGUGGGAUACAUUGCAUAGCCUUAUUCCUGAAAGCUUUACUUUUACAGCAAAUGCCAGAGGCUUAUGUACAUUUCCUAUUUUAAAUGAGGAAGUUCCUAACCCAAGUUGAGAAAUAAGCGGUUAACUGGCAGUUACUGGUUUCCCUUUUCCUAGAGAUGCAUGGGAGGACCAGUUACAUUCUUCCUUCUGUAAUGAUGCUAAUUUCCUAAAUAUCCAUUGCUGUGCCCUCUCUCCUCUACUGUCUGCCCCAUGAGCAAUCCACAGCCUGAAAUUUUGUAAUGUGAAUUAGUAUAACACACACCAAACAGAUGAGUCGAUGACCCCCUGAUAUCAGUGGCUCCAUGCUUCUCCUCCUAUUAUUUUUUGCUUUCAUGAACUGACUUGCUGUCCAUUAACAGAUGAGUUUUGCCCUUGCACAGAACACAGACGAUAAGAUUUUUGUCAAGAGAAGGAUGAUGACACCAACGUCCUCCGUGCUUACUGCAGAGCGGGAGGUGAAAUGAUGAAUACUUGUGCACGUGUGUGUAGGGGGGAAGCAGGAGGGGGAAAAGACUGGUUCCAGAUAGGCUUCCUUGUACAGAACAUUUUUAAGUACUGUUCUGAAGAAAUCAGUAUUUUUAAAACACGAUACUUAUGUGGCAGAUAAAAAAAGAAACAGCUGCAUUAAGCAGCUUCAAGAGUCAGACUUCAAAAAGGGAAAGUCACCUCCCCUGUCCUUACUCUUCCCUGCACAUAGAAAGAAGACAGUGAUGUGAUAUACAGAGCUACUCAAUGGUCAAAUCAAUUUCUUCUAAUUUAAGCUUGUGUACUGAUAUCUUCUCUAGGGCCUAUUUAAAGAUGUAUCUUUCAUCAUUGCUACUUUUGUAUACCUUAUUGAACAUAAUUAAUAGCUGUAUUAGCUGUGACAAUUUAUCUGGGGUCAAUGAAGAAAAGACACCCAAAGAAAAGCAUGGGCAAAAUACAGCUUCAUCUUGGAUAGUCCUGUGGUCUUCCCUAGUUUUGUGGAGUUUACUAUUAUUACUACGUUUUAUUCCAAAAUGCAUGACAAGAACGAACAUUUCCCAUUACAAAAAUGUAUGCGGACACAAGCAAUUCCAAUUCACUGGGCAGACUAUUAUUAGCUCUAUUUUUAGCCUGAAGCGGUAACUAAUCACAUUAGUGGAGGGGCUUUUAUUUUCAAAGUAAUGGCUCUGGAAUAGAGAACUUCCUUCUAAACAGCAAGUGAGUGUUGCCUCUCCCAGACCUCCGCUGUGCUCUUGGUAAAGGCCCUCUGUCUUCUCUCUCUGCACCACAUUUCUCGAUCACCACAUUAUUUCAGCGUCCCAUCUGUAAGCGCUGUGCUAGUGACCCCUACCGUGGCUCUACUUUUAAGGUGCUCCUACACCACACCAGGAAAUUCUCAAUGGCUUCUAAAUUAAGCUAAUUAAAUUGUGCUGCGCACCUAUUCAAAUGCGUACAGAAGGAGGAGUAGUGCAUCAUGGUAAUAUCCACAAGCAAGCGAUGGAGUGUGAAGCUACCAGUCCAAAUCUCUGUGCUCCA